UAGCGGAGGGUGCAAGCGUUAUCCGGAAUUCACUGGGUUUAAAGGGUGCGUAGGCGGGUUGGUAAGUCCGUGGUGAAAUCUCCGAGCUUAACUCGGAAAACUGCCCGUGGAUACUAUCAAUCUUGAAUAUCGUGGAGGUAAGCGGAAUAUGUCAUGUAGCGGUGAAAUGCUUAGAUAGUGACAUAGAACACCAAUUGCGUAGGCAGCUUACUACACGGAUGAUUGACGCUGGAGGCACGAAAGCGUGGGGAGCAAACAGGAUUAGACUACCCU
rnacentral:rRNA from 1 species